CCUACGGGAGGCAGCAGUGAGGAAUAUUGGUCAAUGGACGCAAGUCUGAACCAGCCAUGCCGCGUGCAGGAAGACGGCUCUAUGAGUUGUAAACUGCUUUUGUACGAGGGUAAACGCAGAUACGCGUAUCUGUCUGAAAGUAUCGUACGAAUAAGGAUCGGCUAAUUCCGUGCCAGCAGCCGCGGUAAUACGGAGGAUUCAAGCUUUAUCCGGAUUUAUUGGGUUUAAAGGGUGCGUAGGCGGGGUGUUAAGUCAGCGGUAAAAGCCCGGGGCUAAACCCCGGCGAGCCGUUGAAACUGGCUGUCUUGAGAUGUGGAGAGGUAGGCGGAAGGCGCGGUGUAGCGGUGAAAUGCUUAAAUAUUGGGAAGAACUCCGAUUGGGAAGGCAGCUUACCGGAGGCGAUCUGACGCGGAGGCACGAAAGCGUGGGUAUCGAACAGGAUUAGAGACCCGGGUAGUC
rnacentral:rRNA from 1 species